rnacentral:rRNA from 1 species
GAUGAACGCUGGCGGCGUGCCUAAUACAUGCAAGUCGAGCGAACGGACGAGAGGCUUGCUUCUCUGAUGUUAGCGGCGGACGGGUGAGUAACACGUGGAUAACCUACCUAUAAGACUGGGAUAACUUCGGGAAACCGGAGCUAAUACCGGAUAAUAUUUUGAACCGCAUGGUUCAAUAGUGAAAGACGGUCUUGCUGUCACUUAUAGAUGGAUCCGCGCUGCAUUAGCUAGUUGGUAAGGUAACGGCUUACCAAGGCAACGAUGCAUAGCCGACCUGAGAGGGUGAUCGGCCACACUGGAACUGAGACACGGUCCAGACUCCUACGGGAGGCAGCAGUAGGGAAUCUUCCGCAAUGGGCGAAAGCCUGACGGAGCAACGCCGCGUGAGUGAUGAAGGUCUUCGGAUCGUAAAACUCUGUUAUUAGGGAAGAACAUAUGUGUAAGUAACUGUGCACAUCUUGACGGUACCUAAUCGGAAAGCCACGGCUAACUACGUG